GCUUUAAAAGCAUCAUGUAUUAUUAGUUGGUGUGUUGACACUUUUGUGUUUCUUCUAUUCUCUGUGAAUCGGGAGCUUUUAGUGCCCAGUCCUGCUCGGAAAAGGUGAGGACUCUGUGUAGUGAACGCUUGAGGAUCUGAUCUCAGUGAGCUGAGAAGGAAAACUACACCACUGCUGCAUCUACUUAUUGGUGACCUGCCCGGGGUGUACCCCACCUCUCAUCCUACGACAGCUGGAAUAGACUCCAGCCCAACCAUGACCCUGAAUUGGUAAUCAGACUGAACCGUGUAAGGUGCCACCUGAUGUAUCUAUCCCUGAGCUUUUGAUGGUGCUGAUAACAGAGUGCAGGUGAAAGGCGGUCAGGAGGCCUUCUUUUCAAAACGCAAAAGGCUGAAUCAGAAUGAACGGAGCCUGGAGGUCACGUUCUCAAACCUCACAAAAUCCUUAUGUCCUUCACCUCAUCCCUCACUAUGUUUCUGAUCUAGUCUUCUUCAGCCAGCUCCAUCAUCAUUAUUCUGCCACAUCCCCUGAGGAGUGAGACAGAGCUGAGGCCGGGGCCGGGGCCGGACCAGGCUGGGAGAGAAAACACUGUAGAACCAGAGCGCCAGGACCUGGGAAUGCACACAAGUGAUAUUUGUGCGAGGAGAUCAAAAAGCGUUUACCUUUAGAUGUUUCCCUGAUAUGAAUAUUCAACAUCCUUAUUGAAAUCUAAUUUGGGUCUCCUUGUCUCAGGGGUCUUUUCAUCAGUGCCUGUUGCCUGAGGCCACUGCUGAUUGACAGCCAAACUUUAGUAAAGAGCAAGCAGGAAAAAAGGGGAGAUCUGGUGGUGCUGGAGAUGUGAGCGGUGUGAAGCUGGGGAGAGCUG